rnacentral:sRNA from 1 species
UAUUUAAAAAAAUAAAUAAAGUCUGACACUCAAAAGACUCAGGCAAUCAUCUGAGGACUUCCAAUUCCUUCUAGAAUGUGCUCCCCCGGCUGCCAGUGGGAUAUGUUUCCCUCCAAUGGAGCUGGUCAUCCGCUGUUGUCUUCUCCUGCAGUUCCACAGCCUCCUGGGCAACACAUCAUCCUUACAGCAGUGGAAUUACUUUACCUGCAAGUCUCUCACCCAGCUUGAAACAAAGCCUGACCACCCACCAUCAUCCCACCUGCUUUCCAGAGAGCUGACUGAGGCACCAAGGCGGUAGAUGUGGUGCUGAGCCCUGUGUUCGCUGGCUGAAACUUUGAAGCUGAGUGCUAUACACAGCAAGG